UAAUACGAUGGGCUUGAAUGGCAGGGA
rnacentral:sRNA from 1 species